rnacentral:rRNA from 1 species
UCAAAAUUGAGUUUGGUGAUGGCUCUGAUUGAAUGCUAUCCAAGUGCUUGACACAUGCUAAUCGUACGUCUUAAUACUAGUUAUUAAGAAGUGGUGUACAGGUGAGUAUUAGAUAAUUUUUGCCGACCUUAAAGUGAAGAGAAAUUCUUUAUAAUACAAAGAGGUGUUAUGUAAUACAUCGGCGUCUUUUAAAAGUUUUUUAGGUAGAACAACCUUAUAAAACUAAAUAAAAUAAUAUAAUCUUCAUCUAUUUUAGAUAACAGUAGAUGCCGGGAGCAUACUAACUGUAUAGAAGAUUAUAGAAGUCAAUUUAUAAAUCAAAAGACGUUUUGUAUUACUCAGCCUUGCUUUAAGAGGAUGAUAAUUAUUUCGAGAUAAGUAGUAGCUAAGGUGAUGACUUAGCUAGCUGAAGACUCUCGUAGUCGAAUCUGAAAGGUUAAUCGACCACAUUGGGUCUGAAAAAACCCCAAUGCAUAUCAGUACAGCAGUGAGGAAUUUUGGUCAAUGGCCUAACGGCUGAACUGGCAACUUGGAGAAGUGAUAAGUUUUAUAAUUUCAGUAAAAAUAUAUCUUUAAUAAGAGCGUUUGAAAUAAGAAAUUUAAUUGAUUAUCAAAUGAAACUUUGUUUAUAUAUUGAUAAUGACAGUAUAUAUAAAGUGUCUUGACUAAUUACGUGCCAGCAGUCGCGGUAAUACGUAAGAGACUAGUGUUAUUCAUAAGAAUUAGGUUUAAAGGGUACUUAGACGGUUCUAAUGUCAGUAUAGAAGUAACCCUUAAUGGUACUUUAGAACUAGAGUUAGAUACAAGAGAACAGAACUUGCGGAGGAGAGAUCAUAUUCAUUGAUACCAAAGGGACUGGUAAUGGCGAAGGCAGUUCUCUAUGUAAUAACUGACGUUAAAGGACGAAGGCAUUGGUAACGAACAGGAUUAGAUACCCUAGUAGUCUUUGCAGUAAAUUAUGAGUGUCAUAUGUCAGAUGAAUAUACUUUUAGUUUGGGUUUCUGAAUAAAUUCAGAUAUCUACCUAUUAGUAAAUAUUUGGCUAAUAAAUAAAAGUGUAAGCACUCCACCUCAAGAGUAAUGUGGCAACGCAGGAACUGAAAUCACUAGACCGUUUCUGACACCAGCAGUGAAGUAUGUUGUUUAAUUCGAUGAUCCACGAAAAACCUUACCGCGGUUUGUAUAGCUAUAAUUAUUUUUUAUUUUAAGGAGUUAAUUUAACUAAUUAAAUUGUUUUAUAAUUACAGGUAUUGCACGGCUGUUUUCAGUUAAUGUUGUGAAACUGUGUAUUUUUUACAUGAAAUUAACGUAAUCCCUGACUUUAUUUAAUAGAUUUGCUAUAAAGUAUUUACUCCAUUAUACGUGGGGUUUAUAAAAAAGGGGACAAAGACAAGUCAUCAUGGUCUUAAUACCGCGGGCUACAGACGUGCCACAUUUUCCUAGACAAAGAGAUGCAAAAAUGUGAAUUUAAGCUAAUCUCAAAAAAUAGGAUAAAAUUUUAUAUGGAUUGUAGUCUGAAACUCGACUAUAUGAAAAAGUAAUUGCUAGUAAUCGUGAAUCACCAUAUGUCACGGUGAAUACAUCUCGGAUUGGUACUAACCACUCGUCACAUGCCGAAAGGAGCCUAUGCAAUAAGUUUGCCUUUCUAGUAUUAAGGUCUUAAACAAGUUUAGGGUUUUUAACUAUCGGGUUUUUCUUAUACUAUGAAUCUUCGUAUGCGUAGCUCUAAUUGGUGUAAAGUCGAAAUACGGUUCGUGUAGCGGAAGUUGCACGGGAAGCAUGACAAUA